AUUCCCACUCGGUGUAGCACGCGUGCGCGCCCGCGACGCCCUGAGGGUGGAGGCGGUGGGGGAUGGGGAACAACGCACACGCUCCCAAAUAAACAGGAUUUUAUACCGGCUCCCACAACUGGCUCAGGUAUUCUUCUAGCUCACCUGAGCAAAAGCAAGGUGCCAGCAACACCAAGCACAUGAGGAUUCCCAGGGAGCAUACAGUGUGUGAUAUGCAAGUUGUUCUCCAUAAGAACAUCCACCAAAUGCUGAAAAUAGUUGCCUUGAGAACUGCCCAAGCAGCACAGCAAUGCAAGAGGAGUCAUCAAGGUCAUGUACUAGGAG